AUACGGAGGAUGCAAGCGUUAUCCGGAUUUAUUGGGUUUAAAGGGUGCGUAGGCGGGACUGUAAGUCAGGGGUGAAAUACUGCAGCUUAACUGUAGCAUUGCCUUUGAAACUGCCGUUCUUGAGUACAGUUGAGGUAGGCGGAAUGUGGUGUGUAGCGGUGAAAUGCAUAGAUAUACCACAGAACGCCGAUUGCGAAGGCAGCUUACUAAGCUGUUACUGACGCUGAGGCACGAAAGCGUGGGGAUCAAACAGGAUUAGAUACCCUGGUAGUCCACGCUGUAAACGAUGAUUACUGGUUGUUAGCGAUAUAUAGCUAGUGACUGAGCGAAAGCAUUAAGUAAUCCACCUGGGGAGUACGCCGGCAACGGUGAAACUCAAAGGAAUUGACGGGG
rnacentral:rRNA from 1 species